rnacentral:rRNA from 1 species
AGUGAACGCUGGCGGUAGGCCUAACACAUGCAAGUCGAACGGCAGCACAGUAAGAGCUUGCUCUUACGGGUGGCGAGUGGCGGACGGGUGAGGAAUACAUCGGAAUCUACUUUUUCGUGGGGGAUAACGUAGGGAAACUUACGCUAAUACCGCAUACGACCUACGGGUGAAAGCAGGGGAUCUUCGGACCUUGCGCGAUUGAAUGAGCCGAUGUCGGAUUAGCUAGUUGGCGGGGUAAAGGCCCACCAAGGCGACGAUCCGUAGCUGGUCUGAGAGGAUGAUCAGCCACACUGGAACUGAGACACGGGCCAGACUCCUACGGGAGGCAGCAGUGGGGAAUAUUGGACAAUGGGCGCAAGCCUGAUCCAGCCAUACCGCGUGGGUGAAGAAGGCCUUCGGGUUGUAAAGCCCUUUUGUUGGGAAAGAAAAGCAGCAGGUUAAUACCCCGCUGUUCUGACGGUACCAAAAGAAUAAGCACCGGCGAACUUCGU